rnacentral:rRNA from 1 species
UACGUAGGGGGCAAGCGUUGUCCGGAUUUAUUGGGCGUAAAGAGCGUGUAGGCGGCCAGGUAGGUCCGUUGUGAAAACUCGAGGCUCAACCUCGAGCUGUCGAUGGAAACCAUCUGGCUAGAGUCCGGAAGAGGAGAGUGGAAUUCCCGGUGUAGCGGUGAAAUGCGCAGAUAUCGGGAAGAACAUCAGUGGCGAAGGCGGUCUGCUGGGCCGUUGCUGACGCUGAGGCGCGACAGCGUGGGGAGCAAACAGG